rnacentral:rRNA from 1 species
AUACGUAGGGUGCAAGCGUUAAUCGGAAUUACUGGGCGUAAAGCGUGCGCAGGCGGUUUUGUAAGACCGAGGUGAAAUCCCCGGGCUCCACCUGGGACCUGCCUUUGUGACUGCAAGGCUAGAGUACGGCAGAGGGGGAUGGACUUCCGCGUGUAGCAGUGAAAUGCGUAGAUAUGCGGAGGAACACCGAUGGCGAAGGCAAUCCCCUGGGCCUGUACUGACGCUCAUGCACGAAAGCGUGGGGAGCAAACAGGAUUAGAUACCCUGGUAGUCCACGCCCUAAACGAUGUCAACUGGUUGUUGGGUCUUCAUUGACUCAGUAACGAAGCUAACGCGUGAAGUUGACCGCCUGGGGAGUACGGCCGCAAGGUUGAAACUUAAAUGAAUUGGCGGGG